rnacentral:pre_miRNA from 1 species
CACUUCAGGAAGUGCCAUCCAUGUAGCUAAAACCUAUGAUUGGCACCUCUUUGAGUGUA